CUAAUACCGCAUAAGCCCACGGCUCGGCAUCGAGCAGAGGGAAAAGGAGCAAUCCGCUUUGAGAUGGCCUCGCGUCCGAUUAGCUAGUUGGUGAGGUAAUGGCCCACCAAGGCGACGAUCGGUAGCCGGACUGAGAGGUUGAACGGCCACAUUGGGACUGAGACACGGCCCAGACUCCUACGGGAGGCAGCAGUGGGGAAUAUUGCACAAUGGGGGAAACCCUGAUGCAGCGACGCCGCGUGGAGGAAGAAGGUCUUCGGAUUGUAAACUCCUGUUGUUGAGGAAGAUAAUGACGGUACUCAACAAGGAAGUGACGGCUAACUACGUGCCAGCAGCCGCGGUAAAACGUAGGUCACAAGCGUUGUCCGGAAUUACUGGGUGUAAAGGGAGCGCAGGCGGGAAGACAAGUUGGAAGUGAAAUCUAUGGGCUCAACCCAUAAACUGCUUUCAAAACUGUUUUUCUUGAGUAGUGCAGAGGUAGGCGGAAUUCCCGGUGUAGCGGUGGAAUGCGUAGAUAUCGGGAGGAACACCAGUGGCGAAGGCGGCCUACUGGGCACCAACUGACGCUGAGGCUCGAAAGUGUGGGUAGCAAACAGGAUUAGAUACCCUGGUAGUCCACACCGUAAAC
rnacentral:rRNA from 1 species